UACAGAGGUCUCAAGCGUUGUUCGGAUUCAUUGGGCGUAAAGGGUGCGUAGGUGGCGCCGUAAGUCGGGUGUGAAAUUUCGGAGCUUAACUCCGAAACUGCAUUCGAUACUGCGGUGCUUGAGGACUGGAGAGGAGACUGGAAUUCAUGGUGUAGCAGUGAAAUGCGUAGAGAUCAUGAGGAAGACCAGUGGCGAAGGCGGGUCUCUGGACAGUUCCUGACAGCUGAGGCACGAAGGCCAGGGGAGCAAACGGG
rnacentral:rRNA from 1 species